GGCCAGCUAGCUCAGUUGGUUAGAGCAUCAUUCGAAUAUGCCAAGGUUGUGGGUUCUAUCCCCACCCAGGCCA
rfam:Myotis brandtii contig297172, whole genome shotgun sequence.